UCAGAUAAUCGGAAUAUUCAGAUCUGACGCGUUUCCAUGCACUUCAGAAAUGCGAUAAUCAUAACCCUGGUUUAGACGCUCCAGUCCAGUAUCAGAUUUCUUUUAAAGUUCGUACGUACAUAAUGAUGAUAGAGUCAAACUUCCUGUUAUUGAGCCUGUUUACAUGACCAUAAAAAUCCAAUAACUGGGAGUAAUCCGAUUAUUGCCAUAAUCAGAUGCAAUGCGUUUAUAUGCACUUCAGAAAAGCGAAAAAAAACCUACAGAUCUGAACUGUUU